rnacentral:rRNA from 1 species
GGGGAAGGGAGCUUGCUACCUGACCUAGCGGCGGACGGGUGAGUAAUGCUUAGGAAUCUGCCUAUUAGUGGGGGACAACAUUCCGAAAGGAAUGCUAAUACCGCAUACGCCCUACGGGGGAAAGCAGGGGAUCUUCGGACCUUGCGCUAAUAGAUGAGCCUAAUUUAGACUUAGCUAGGGGGGGGGGUAAAGGCCUACCAAGGCGACGAAUCGAGCCCGGGUCUGAGAGGAUGAUCCGCCACACUGGGACUGAGACACGGCCCAGACUCCUACGGGAGGCAGCAGUGGGGAAUAUCGGACAAUGGGCAAAAGCCUGAUCCAGGCCAUGCCGCGGGUGUGAAGAAGGCCUUUCGGUUGGAAAGCACUUUAAGCGACGAAGGAGGCUCCUGAGAUUAAAACUCCUGGAUAGUGGACGUUACUCGCAGAAAAAGCACCCGGUAACCCUGCCCACCAGCCGCGGCAAAACAAAGGGGGCAAGCGGUAACUCGGAUUACCUGGGC